GCUGGCCAAAAGAUGAAAGUGGCAGAAUUUCCACUGCAUACAGCAGGGCUGGAUGCUGUCACUGACAGUCCCUUCUAUUUUUUAUCAGUGACCAGUUUUCCAAGGUCUAUCUUUAUCACACUUCAAGAUUUCAGGCAAACACAGGCUGAAACCCUGGAGACCAGGAUCACACGUUUUAAAUGCAGCAAGAGGACUGGACAGACACAAAGCUUAUCCUGGCUGAUCCAACACACCCAAAAGCAGCACCUGCAUCCCAUGACUGGCACAUUCCUGGGAUGGUGGGAGUGUUCUUUACAGCAGGCCUCACAGAGGAGAACCUGGACACUAACACAAGGAACUGAAAAAAGAAUCUGGACACCUGCUCAAGGGCUUCUUACAACUCUGCAGCAGCAGGCAGGGGGAAAUUGGAGGUGUCAGAUCCACCAGAGCAGCGGCCUGGUCUAUCCCACUCCUCCAGGGCUGUUUGGCCACAGCCCCCACAAAUGCACAGAAACUCAACUUUGCAGGCUCCAGACAACAAAAGGGCAUUUCCCUGUGCCACAGACCACCCCAGUGCCAGGGGCAAAGCCAAACACCUGACCUGGCCAUCAUCCCCCACUGCUCUAUGGCAUUCACCAAUGAAAUGGUACAAAGGAGGCUCAGCUCCCUUUGCUGUGGAUUUCAGGAUGAGAAAUUGUGUUCCAUUUGGAUAUCAUAUCAGCCUGACCCUUUGACUGAAGGAUCUUUGAUUAAAUUUCUGCUGUAGAGAGGGCAGAAGUAAAGUUUGAGUCUACAUCUCACGGCUGGAAAACCAGCCCUGAAAACAAGAACUUUGGUCUUCUGCUCUUGGCUCACAAAGCUCAAGUUUAAGGUCCCAAAAGUGUCCCAAUGGCUGCUGGGUUACAGCUUAAUCCGUGGGGCAGUUAUAACUAAAUAUUC